ACUACUACUACCAAUAAUAAUAAUAAUAAUAAUAAUAAUAAUAAUAAUAAUAAUAAUAAUAAUAAUAAGGAAGUACGAUAUAUUAUGCAACAGUUCCUUGUUACCGGUAGAUGUAGAGCAAAGCAUAGUAUUAAUUAAACGAAAAUGUGAGUGAGUCUGUAGGAAGUGUGGGCGGGGCAUCGAUACCCGUACUGCGCAGACUCGGCCUCCAAGGUCGCAAGAUGGCGCUGCCCCUAUCCCCCGGAAGGUACUGCAAGUUUGGCUAAUGCAAGGCCUUGACGGGGCGACCAGAUGAAGGCAAAACUAUAAGAGGAGACGAUAAGAAGAACAGAAAACGAGAAGUGACUUCAUGCCGGAACGAAGAUGUAGACUUGUAAAGGUAAGAACAGAAAGAUGUUGGGUAGGCUUGGUAGUUUAGGCUUUUAUUCUUAUCAACAGGACAUAUUACAAGUUGAGCGGUUUGGCUGUUUUUUUGUCACAAUUACCAAACCAAAAUCAACCAUAAAUUCAUUUAUGCUCUGUGUGUGAUGAUUUUAUCAACUUAGUUACAUUUGUCACCUUUUUGUAAAGAGCUUGAACUUUGAAAAUAGGUGUUACAGCAUAGAGCACAUUUGUUUCUGCGGUGCAAACGGUAAGAGUCAAAUAGUCAGGUCGCUAAAAUGUAGGAAGUGGUUUCUCUUGCAUUGUGAAACAGUGGCAGCACUUGCUCAUUUCUGCACAACAGAAACAUCUAGACAGACAGAACAGCGCUGGAACACACAUAUUAGAGACAUUUGACUUAACGUUGCUGUAACGUUAACGUUGUUACAAACAUUAGAUUUGUUGGAUCAAAUGAUUGCAUGCACGCGAUAGACCAGAAACAGAACCGAUAAGAGAUGGAAGACUGGGCAUUUAUCACUCCAGUGUGAUCUUAAAAUAUGUUAACAAAGUAUUUGUGAGUCUGUUGCACCCUUAAUGGAGUUUUAAGUAAAUUUAAUAAUAGAAAAUACCCGUGCUCAAUCACGCUCUGAGAACUAAUUAGCCGUUCUUGGUCGACGCCACAGAAACCAUCUCAGUCGUGUUUAUGCCAGGUGAUCGCAGAAGUCGUCUGAUCAUGCAACUUUCCGUUACUCUGCGUCUUGAUCAAAUAGCCUGCAGGUGUUUUUUUUUUUUGGACUAGUUGUGCUGUUCAUAAACAAGUAAUUGUCCCACCAAGCUUGCUCAAACCAGAUGGUAUGACACACCGCCCAACAAUGUGAAAGCCAUGCUGAUUAAAUUAAUUCGGAAUGAAUGACAGGAAGUCAAAAGUUUGGCUGGCAGAGACCUCCCACACAUGUCUCACCUCCUCCUGUGUGUUUCACGUUCUUUGCAACUCACUUUGACCUAGAACUUCUCGGAGUCCUAGUUUUCCCUGUUCUUCAACCUGUGCCUUAUGUUUGUACUCUUUUUCUUUUGGGCCUCCCUCAGUAUGAGCUUUUUUUUUUUUUUUUAGUUUUUUACCACGAAGAUCAGAAGAACCCUGCCAAAGAGAAGUACAGUAUAUAGCACCCUAAAGUGCAAAUCUAUGUGGAAGUAAAUGUUGACAUCACUCAUUUAAUGUUCUUUCAGCAGUCAGCAAAAAAUCUGCAGUCACAACCAUUCAACUGAAUUUGAUUUAUUCAUUUACGUACACAGUUUAAAGUUGCAGUGAUGCGAUUUGCAGCCGAUCUGGAGCCCAGUUUUUGUUCUUGCUUGUUUGAUCUUAGCCGAAACCAAGAGACACGUUCCCUUGUACCUUUGUAACUAUGAAUUUACAGCCCUCUCCUUAGUCCACUGCUGAUAAAAACAGAGCCAAGCCCGCAUCUGUCUACUCUCUGUCAUUUCCCAACCUUUGGCAAGCCCCAGCAACAUCGAUGCAAUGUUUAUUCUACUGGCCAUCUCAUGUUUUGUUGGUUCUUAGAUACAAAAAUAAAUACGUUAUUUGUGUCAAUGAUAAAUUCACAGUUUCUUGUCCACAUCCUCUACACCAUCUCUGCCCUGUCCCCUAGAGUAGGUGUUUGCGUGUUUCAGUACUAUUCAAGUUCCUGUUUUAAACAUUGACGUCCCUCUGUAGCGACUGCGCCUAAUAAUCCUAACAGUGUUUAUUUUGUGUUUAUCGUUUAUGAAUGUUACUUCUUCAAGUAUUUAGUUAUGGAGAACUUGGAAACAAGUGUUAUUUAAGCACGUGGCGAAAGAGCUGGACUCACCCAGCUGAUGUGUUUUGACUUUGGAGUAUCACAAGGAAUAAGGUUUCUCUUUUGAGACCUGCAGCUGUUAACCUUCCCGUCAGCAACAACCCUGGUAACGUUCCCAGCAGCACACCAGCAUCUCUCCCCAAUGACCUCAGUUCCUUCUUUUCCAAAUUUGAGAUCAACAACUCCACCCAGCUACAAGACGUCAGAUCCACCCUCAUAUCUGACGACGCAACGUCCGCUGCAUCUCUUUCCUCACCACGGACGUAGUGAGGGCCCUAAAGAGAAUCGAGGCUAACAGCGGGAGCCGAUAACAUCAGUGGGCGGGUCCUCACACACUGUGCGGACCAGUUAGGGAGUGUCUUCCGGGAACUGUUCUAGACCUCCAUCAACACAGGAACCGUCCGCAUAUUUUGGAAACACUCAACCAUUAUCCCCAUUCCCAGCCCCCCCAGGUUCCUGAACGACCUGCGCCCAGGCUAUGGAUGAAGGCCAUGGAGAGGCUAGUUAAGCGACACAUCCUCACUCUGACCAACUCACAACUCGACCCACUCCAAUUUGCAUAUCAAAGCCACAAAGGUGUCGACGAUGCCAAAGCCUUCAUCAUCGACAGCAUCCACAGACACCUGGAGCUUCGCUUACUUCUCCUCGGCCUUCAACGCCCUGCGACCGCACAUUCUGGCAGAGAGACUCCAGCGGAGCUUCAGCUUGAGCAGCCAGCUCAUCCUCCCGGAUCCUGGACCUUCUGACCAACCGAACCCAGCGAGUCUGGAUUAACAAUAACCUGUCUGAUCUCCUCUGCCACCUCCACUGGCUCCCCACAAGGCUGUGUGCUCUCUCCACUGCUCUUCGUCCUGUACACCGACGAGUGCAGAUCAGCGCAGCCCCAGACUGUCACCUGGUGAAGUUUGCUGACGACACAGUUCUCCUGUCCGGUCCCUCCCUCCGCCACGCACACGCUCUGCAGCAGCUCGCAGAGUGGUGUGACUCUUCCUGUCUGGAGCUGAAUUUCAGCAAAACGAAGGAGAUGGUGGUGACCUUCUCCAGCAGCCAAAGGGAACUGGCGGCAGCUGUCACCACUAUGAUCCACGGUUCUCCGGUCGAGACAGUUGGGGAAUACAGAUACCCGGGAACCGUCCUGGACGGCCAACUGAGGUUCUCUUCCAACACUGAAGGGAUCCUGAGGAAGUGCCCCCAGAGGAUGUACCUACUAAGGAAACUGAACUCUUUCUCUGUAAGAACAUCUUGCUGACAUUCUAUUACACGUUCAUUUUAAGUGUUUUAACUUUCUCCAUAUGUUCCUGGUAUCACUCCGUAUCUGUUCAGGAUAGGAACCGCCUGCAUAACAUUGUCAAGGUGUGUUCUAAGAUUAUUGGACUCCCUGCUCGCCACCUGAGCACUGUGUACGAGCAAUUCUCAAGGACUCAACCCGUGCUCUGUUUCCAGCAUUUGAGCUGCUUCCGUCUGGUGGCAGGUUCCGAUGUCCGGCCUGUAAGACCGAGAGGAGGAGAGCAGCCUUUGUUCCCAAUGUUAUUCUCUUCCUGAACUCUAAGAACUUUACGACGGUCACAAUAACUUAACCUCCUGUGUUACACUCACAGUGCAAUAUCACAUGUCCUCUUGUGCAAUACUACCUCUUGUGCAAUACUACUUUGAGACUUUAACUACAGUGUCACUUUAAUUUAUUUUUUUUUUAAACCACGCCUCACUUUAUUUAUUUCAUUAAUUUAUUUGUCAUACCUUAUCUGCUGCUGUUUUAUUUAUUUAUUUUUUUAUACAUAUUGGUCUUGAUAUUAUUUUCAACAAUCCAUCUCUCUUCUGUUACUGGCAGCAGGCCUGCCAUUGUACUUAAUAUCCUGUUUUGUUUGUUUUUUGUUUUUUUUGGCCACUUUUGCAAUUUUUAUUCUUUCGUUAUCUUAUUCUCUGGCUCUUAAAAUAUUUAUCGCUCUCUGCCCUCCUGAUUGCCCUUCGGGGAGUAAUAAAGUUUUUUCUGUUUCUGUUUUA